rnacentral:rRNA from 1 species
AGUGAUUUGUCUGGUUAAUUCCGAUAACGAACGAGACUCAAAUAUAUUAAAUAGAUGCUUUCAGGAUUAUGGUGUUGAAGCUUAUAUAGCCUUCAUUCAUGCGUACAUCUUGAAUGCACAAGUGUUUGAAUGUGUUUAUAUAAGUGGAGUCGUACCUGUUGGUUUGUCCCAUUAUA